rnacentral:lncRNA from 1 species
CUUGGAGGUGUUAAGUGUGAUGCUUCCAUAAUACAUUUGGAUGCUGUCAGCUAAGUUCACUUCUGAACUAAGGGGUUCCUCCAAAUGUUGGCUGAAAUUCAUCCCAAGGCUGGUCUGCAAAGUCUGCAAUUCAUAAUGGAGCUACUGUACUGGCUAUUGGAAGGAGGAGAUUCUGAAGAUAAGGAGUUCUCUUGUAGGAUGCCACUGGAAAUGUUGAAAUGAAAAAUAUUCAGCCGUUGGUCUUUGAAAUUUCCUGUGAUGUGUUUCAAUCUAGAUGCAAAGAACAUGGAAAAAUCAAAGUGCUCGAGUGGUUUAAAUAUGUUUUGGGUAUUCCUGUUUAUAGACUAUAAUACUUUUCCAAUUAAAAUCCUCAGUUGUCACGCAGAAGAAGGUUAAGCUGUAUUUGAUUGCCAGUUUUACUGAAAAUGCUUAGUAUUUUACAGUAUCACCAAAUAUAUUUUGUUUAGCCAAGGUAUAGGAAAAAUAAAAUAAAUUGUAUAGGUUGACUUUUUUCUAAAAUGUCUUUAUUGGAUUGAAUGAAUGUUUAUACCUGAAAAAAAAAGGUUCAAAAAAAUUCCUUUUUCUAUCAGAGUCAUUCUUUUGACAAUCAGAUAUUAGACUAGGUUUAAAAUAACUUUCUAAUAUGACUCAUAUUUAUGGGAGGAAAAAGACUUGAAAGAUAUUCCUAUGUGUACUUUAAUUUUCUGUAAUAGUCCCUCUGGAAUAGAAUAUCUCUUCCUCAAACAAAUCUAUUGGCUCAUUUCAUAUACAAGAAAAAGUUGCCCUAAAUGGCAGAGUUUCAUCUCUGUAAAGAAGGCUGACAUCCACUUCCUUCACAGAAUCCCUGCAUUUGGGUAAUUGAGUAAUGAUAGAUUACCUUGCCAUUGGGAAAUACCUUGUUGUGGCCUUUGUAGCAGCUAUAGGAAGAUGGAAGAAUUCUUUUGUAUAGACAGGUCUCUAGCCUCUUUGGUGUGGACACUGUGAAGGGGUACAUCUGGUGAGAAGGAGUGCUUAGGGAAGGAACUGGGAAGGUCCACAAAGGCUGAUGAUGACAAAGAAUCCAAGGGCUAUGAUGAAUUCUUAAGCUUAGAUCUCAGAGUCAUAAAGUAAAUUUAUUAGGCUAGAGAGAUUUCCUUUUUUAUUUUUGAUCAAACUUUAUUUUUUCAGAUUGUUAAGUUCACAUGCAGUUGUACAAAAUAAUACAGAGAUCUUUGAACACUACCCAGUUUCUCCUAAUAGUAACUUCUUGCAAUAUACUGUAUAGCACAGCAUCACAACCUGGAUACUGACAUUGAUGCAGUCAAGACAGAGAACAUUUAUAUCAUGAGGAGGAUCCCUCAUUACCGCCCUUUGAUAUCCACCCCUACUUCCAGACCAUCUCACUCCUCCCUUAACCCUGGCAACCACUAGCAUGUUCUCCAUUUCUAUAAAUUUGCCUUUAUAGGAAUGUUAUAUAAUUGCAAUUAAAGUGUGUAACCUUUUGGGGUUUGACUCACCC